ensembl:lncRNA
CUCCUGCACUGGGAGCAUGGAGUCUUAGCCUCUGGACCACCAUGGAAGUCCCCUAAGCAGAAUUUGUUGGAUUGAAGGCUGUUAAGGUGUGAAUGACGACUGAGGAUGCAGAUGAAGAAGUCAGCAGAGGUCUAGUUUUUAAAGACUUGGCAGGCCAGGGUAACAGAAUAUUCAUUGGGACCCUGCCUGAAUUUGUGGACUGGUUAAUAUAACCAGUGGUGGACACAGUGCCUGUUGAAACUAUGCACCUCCACAUUUCGAGAGAAAGAGUUCCCGGGACUGCAAGGAGGUCGAACCAGUCAAUCCUAAAGGAUAUCAACCCUUAAUAUUCAGUGGAAGGACUGAUGCUGAAGCUGCGAUACUUUGGCCACCUGAUGUGAAGAGCCAACUGGAAAAAGCCCCUGAUGUUGAAAAAAAUUGAAGGCAAAAGGAAAGGUUAAUGUUCCUCAUCGCCUGAGGCCCGGUUGCAGUCUUUAAACCUGUUGUUUCAUGCACGGUGUCACGUUUGCUUUGUUGGUUUGAGACAGGAGUGUAGAAUCUAGUCCCUGUUACUCUUCACCUUGAGCGGAAGCCAGCGUUCCUUCCUUUGUUUUCUUGACUUGGGAUUUUAAGUAGUCUCCGAAGAAGGUCAAAAGCAAGAGCCCAGAGCCAUGGCCUGCCUCUCUGGUGCAGGUGAAGUUUAAUAAUAAAGGAAUCUCAUAAAAUAGGGUUUCCCUCAUGGCUCAGCCAUAAGGAAUCCGACUGCAAUGCAAGAGACACAGGAGAUGCCAGUUUGGUUCCUGGGUCAGGAAGAUCCCCUGGAGGAGGGCAUGGCAACCCACUCCAGUAUUCUUGCCUGGAGAAUCCCAUGGACAGAGGAGCCUGGCAGGCUACAGUCCACAGGGUUGCAAAGAGUUAGACAGGACUGAAGCGACUGAGCACGCAUGCAUGAAGUAAACUGUAAGUGAAAAACCAUUGAAAACCCCACCAGCUUACUUAGAAUAAAAUAGCUACCUAUGAAGGUGGAUUUUAAAUCUUGUUCCGUCUACAUAUUUUCAACUUUUUAUUAUGGGAAUAUGAAAACACGUACAAAAAAUAGAGAAACUAAUGCUAUGAGUGCCAAUGUGUUAUCCAGCUUCAAC